rnacentral:lncRNA from 1 species
AGGGUAUUGCCUGUGUUGUACUCAUCUCUUUAUCAUAAGUGUCCUAAAUAAUGAAAGAACAAUUCUUCAAGAGAAAAGGAGUGGUCAGCCCCUUUACCCUCCUGUCAAGGAAAAUUAAGCCUGAAGGUCAUACUAUUGGAUGCUUAAAGGCCCUGCCGAUUCAUCACAAGACAGUUUCCACAAACUGAUGGGAGAGAGACACUUGCAAGGCUUAGAGAACAACACUGUCAGUCUGGAGUAAGUGACAAAAAUAAGAAAGGGAAGUCUAUCCUGAUGCCCAGCCAGGGAAAAAUGGGAAGAAAGAGAAGAGAAGAGAAGAGACAGAGAGGUUAUCGCAGGAGUGGGACUGGUGACUAAAGAGGAAAUGAGACCUAAGCUAGCCUCCUUGCCAUGUGAUACUCUGCACCACCUUGAGACUCUGCAGAGAGUACCCACCAACAAGGAAGCUCUCACCAGAUGCGCCCCCUUGACCUUGGACUUCUCCACCUCCAGAACAGUAC